AUCCAGCUGACGAGUCUCAAAUAGGAUGAGAUGCGCAUCAAUCUAGAU
rfam:Schistosoma haematobium scaffold19_6, whole genome shotgun sequence.